rnacentral:rRNA from 1 species
UGGGGAAUAUUGCGCAAUGGGGGAAACCCUGACGCAGCGACGCCGCGUGCGGGAUGAAGGCCUUCGGGUUGUAAACCGCUUUUGAUUGGGAGCAAGCCUUUUGGGUGAGUGUACCUUUCGAAUAAGCGCCGGCUAACUACGUGCCAGCAGCCGCGGUAAUACGUAUGGGGCGAGCGUUGUCCGGAAUUAUUGGGCGUAAAGGGUACGUAGGCGGUCUAUUAAGUCAGGUGUGAAAGCGUGAGGCUUAACCUCAUUAAGCACUUGAAACUGAUAGACUUGAGUGAAGGAGAGGAAAGUGGAAUUCCUAGUGUAGCGGUGAAAUGCGUAGAUAUUAGGAGGAAUACCGGUGGCGAAGGCGACUUUCUGGACUUUUACUGACGCUCAGGUACGAAAGCGUGGGGAGCAAACAGG